CUAUCGCACCAGAAGUAGCUAGCUUAACCUUCGGGAGGGCGGUUACCACGGUGGGUUUAGCGACUGGGGUGAAGUCGUAACAAGGUAGCCGUAGGUGAACCUGCAGAAGGAUCA
rnacentral:rRNA from 1 species